GACAGAAACCAGAAAGAAAAAAGAGAGAAAGAGAGAGAGAGAGAGAAAGAAAGAAAGAAAGAAAGAGAUCUUCCGGUGCGGAUUCCGGCAAUUUCCGGCAGCAAAAAUGUUCUUGUUGUUUUCUGGCUUGGUGGUAGUUGAAAGAAGUGUUAAGGAUGUUGAGAUGAAGCCGCUGUCAAAAUUUGGUGACCAUCGGAGGAGUUGGCCGACGAGUGAACAGUGCCGCCGAGUGAACAGUGCGGGUGACGUAUCAAAUUACUACUGGGUGAAGGAGCUCUUAUGCGUGGUUGCCUAAAUAGUACUUUUGCAGGCUAGAUUAGUUGAGGUCGGGCGUACAUGGAGUCGAGGCAUAGCCAACAGCAUUGCUUCCGCGUACUCAUUCUAUUUCUGUUUUCUGUGAUACCUAAUAGAUUAAUAUUGCUCUGAUAAGCUGUGGGAUUAAUAUUGUUUUUGGGUUGAGACUGUUAUUUGAGAAAUUGAAGUUGUGAUUUGGGGAGCAGGUGGCUCCAGGAGUAUAAGGUUGGUUUGUUUGAA